rnacentral:rRNA from 1 species
UGCAGUCGACGCUUUGUGCUUAUUGAUAUGACGAGCUUGCUCUGAUUUGAUUUUUUGAUUUCAAAGAGUGGCGAACGGGUGAGUAACACGUGGGUAACCUACCUCUUAGCAGGGGAUAACAUUUGGAAACAAGUGCUAAUACCGUAUAAUACCAACAACCGCAUGGUUGUUGGUUGAAAGAUGGUUCUGCUAUCACUAAGAGAUGGACCCGCGGUGCAUUAGCUAGUUGGUAAGGUAAUGGCUUACCAAGGCAAUGAUGCAUAGCCGAGUUGAGAGACUGAUCGGCCACAAUGGGACUGAGACACGGCCCAUACUCCUACGGGAGGCAGCAGUAGGGAAUCUUCCACAAUGGGCGCAAGCCUGAUGGAGCAACGCCGCGUGUGUGAUGAAGGGUUUCGGCUCGUAAAACACUGUUAUAAGAGAAGAACGGCACUGAGAGUAACUGUUCAGUGUGUGACGGUAUCUUACCAGAAAGGAACGGCUAAAUACGUGCCAGCAGCCGCGGUAAUACGUAUGUUCCAAGCGUUAUCCGGAUUUAUUGGGCGUAAAGCGAGCGCAGACGGUUAUUUAAGUCUGAAGUGAAAGCCCUCAGCUCAACUGAGGAAUUGCUUUGGAAACUGGAUGACUUGAGUGCAGUAGAGGAAAGUGGAACUCCAUGUGUAGCGGUGAAAUGCGUAGAUAUAUGGAAGAACACCAGUGGCGAAAGCGGCUUUCUGGACUGUAACUGACGUUGAGGCUCGAAAGUGUGGGUAGCAACAGGAUUAGAUACCCUGGUAGUCACACGUAACGAUGAGUGCUAGAUGUUCGAGGGUUUCCGCCCUUGAGUGUCGCAGCUAACGCAUUAAAG